CCUUUAAGUUUCAGACUUGCGUCCGUACUUCCCAGGCGGCAAACUUAACGGCUUCCCUGCGGCACUGCAUUGGCCAUAAGCCAAUGCAUCACCGAGUUUGCAUCGUUUACAGCUGGGACUACCCGGGUAUCUAAUCCGGUUUGCUCCCCCAGCUUUCAUCCCUCACCGUCGAACGUGUUCUGGCAGACCGCCUUCGCCACUGGUGGUCCUCGGAGGAUCAGAGGAUUUUACCCCUACCCCCCGAAUACCGUCCGCCUCUCCCACUCCCUAGCUUUGUAGUAUCUCCAGCGGCCCAUCUGUUAAGCAGGUGGAUUUAACCGG
rnacentral:rRNA from 1 species